rnacentral:tRNA from 1 species
GCCCUGAUGGCUCAGUGGUUAAGCACUCAGCUGCUAACUGAAAGUUUGGUGGUUCGAACCCACCGGCC